CCUACGGGCGACAGCAGUGGGGAAUAUUGGGCAAUGGGCGCAAGCCUGACCCAGCAACGCCGCGUGAAGGAAGAAGGCUUUCGGGUUGUAAACUUCUUUUGUCAGGGACGAAGCAAGUGACGGUACCUGACGAAUAAGCCACGGCUAACUACGUGCCAGCGGCCGCGGUAAUACGUAGGUGGCAAGCGUUAUCCGGAUUUAUUGGGUGUAAAGGGCGUGUAGGCGGGAAUGCAAGUCAGAUGUGAAAACUAUUGGCUCAACCCAUAGCCUGCAUUUUAAACUGUAUUUCUUGAGUGCUGGAGAGGCAAUCGGAAUUCCGUGUGUAGCGGUGAAAUGCGUAGAUAUACGGAGGAACACCAGUGGCGAAGGCGGAUUGCUGGACAGUAACUGACGCUGAGGCGCGAAAGCGUGGGGAGCAAACAGGAUUAGAUACCCGUGUAGUC
rnacentral:rRNA from 1 species